UACGUAGGGGGCAAGCGUUGUCCGGAUUUAUUGGGCGUAAAGAGCGUGUAGGCGGUUGGGUAGGUCCGUUGUGAAAACUCGAGGCUCAACCUCGAGACGCCGAUGGAAACCCCCCAGCUAGAGUCCGGAAGAGGAGAGUGGAAUUCCUGGUGUAGCGGUGAAAUGCGCAGAUAUCAGGAAGAACACCCGUGGCUAAGGCGGCUCUCUAGUACGGUACUGACGCUGUGACGCGAAAGCGUGGGGAGCGAACAGG
rnacentral:rRNA from 1 species